UGUAAAAUAACCAUUUCCUCUUUGAGCCCUUGGAUUAAAAAGAUCGUUAUUGCCCCUUUCUGAAAACUCUGAGCCAUCAUUCCUAUUUAUGCUUGAACUGAAUGUGUCCCAACAGUUCAGUGGAGCAGCACAUGCAGAAAAUGUAACUCUAGAGUCAGGGUCAGUUUCUUGCAGACAUCCUUGCCACAACAACGUGUUUGUUUUUUCUCUCCACAAUUAGGAGCCAACUGGUGAGCCCUCUCCUAAGAGACCCAGGGGAAGACCCAAAGGCAGCAAAAACAAGAGUCCCUCCAAAGCAGCUCAGAAGAAAGCAGAAGCCACUGGAGAAAAACGGCCACGAGGCCGACCUAGGAAAUGGCCACAACAAGUUGUUCAGAAGAAGCCUGCUCAGGAGGAGACUGAAGAGACAUCCUCACAAGAGUCUGCAGAAGAGGAUUAGGGGGCGCCCACGUUUGAUUUCUACCUCAGCAGCAGUUGGAUCUUUUGAAGGGAGAAGACACUGCAGUGACCACUUACUUUCUGUUGCCAUGGUCUUUCCACUUUCAUCUGGGGCGGGCAGGGUGGGUGGGGGAGGGGUGGGGCUCGGGGGGAGAAAUCACAUAACCUUAAAAAGGACUAUAUUAAUCACCUUUGUAAUCCCUUCACAGUCCCAGGUUUAGUGAAAAACUGCUGUAAACACAGGGGACACCAUUUAACAAUGCAACUUUUAAUUACUGUUUUCUUUUCUCUUAGCCUACUAAUAGUUCGUUGAUCUGAUAAGCAGGAGUGGGUGGGUGAGAAAAGCUCUGAAUCAGGUUUAGUCGAUCACUGCACUGCACACAGACAAGAAUCAUGUCACAGCCGUGACACUGGGCAUUCACGUAGGAAAGGCGCAGUGUGUGACACUGUAGCCCUCAACACCACCCAACCCGCUCGCGUAGUGAGGCUUCUGUUUAGAACCAAAGAUAGGAAUAGAUACGACUUCUCUCCUUUUCGUAUAAUCUUGUAGACACUUACUUGAUGUUGUUGUUAUUUUUUACUCUUUUAUUUCUAAACCAGACGAAAUGCUGAUGUGUCCUUUCAUUCAGCUAACAGGCAAGAAAAGAUUCCGCUCAUUUUUUUCAAAAGGGGAAGUAAGCACACGAGGGUUGCCAACUCCCAGAUUUAUGGCUGUCACACAUAUCAGUAGGGGAACCCAUUGGCCCUGUCACACUCUGUCAGGAGAAACACUCAUCCAGGUCGGAUCUACUUCCCACAGAGCCAGAUGCCAUUCAGAAAUACAUCACACGUGUCAGCCUCCAAGCAUGGAAGGAACCUAGAUAAGUAAAAUCAUCAUCUUUGUAAUUUAAUGAAAAGGUACAACAAUAAUGCAUGAUGAACUCACCUGAAUUAUGAGGUAGGAGCAAAAUCUAAACUUCUUUUGCUAUAGUUAUGCUACAACUUCAAAAAAGAAAACAAAAAAAAGCAAUGUCUCUCUCUGCCUCUUUUCAUUGUGUAUCAGUUUCCGUGAAAGACCUAAAUACCACUUACCUCAAACUAAGCUUAUGUGUUACUUCAGGUAACGCGUUUUGACAUAGGAUGGUUGACUGAGGUGCUUCUCUUUGGCUUCAGUUCACCGUCUCUUCAUUCAAACUGCACUUUUAGCCAGAGAUGCAAUAUAUCCCCACUACUCAAUACUACCUCUGAAUGUUACACUUAAUUUACAGUCUAGUACUUUUUACAUGCUGCUAUACACAAACAAUGCAAGAAAGAAAGACAAAUUUAAUGGGUAGGUGAUGCUAACCGCAGUUCUUUUUGUACACUUAACCCACAGUUAAUGAAGCAGUCUCCUUACUGUGUUUCAGCAUGGCUUUGUAUUUUUCUAUGGUGUUUUUUUUUUUAAUUAAAAUUUUGCAAAUACUUGUUUCAGCUUCUCUGCUAGAUUUCUACAUUAACUUGAAUAGUUGUUGUUUUUUGUUUUGUUUUGUUUUUUUAACCAAGUCGCUCCUAGGUUCUUAAGGAUCAUUCUCCUCAAUCGCACUACACAGCACACAGAAUUUGACUGUAAUGUUUAAAUAUCACCCUCCAAGUUUGUACCUCAGAUGAAUUGUUUAAGGAAAUGGACUAAUUGACUUGCAAAGACCUACCUCCAGACUUCAAAAAGAAUGAACUUGUUACUUGCAGCCUUCAUUUUUGCCAACGUUUGACAUAGUUCAGACUGCAGCUAUCCCUAGUCAAAGCUAUUUUUGUAAAAAACGUUUGCUAGAGAGGAACACAUUUUUACAUACUUUUGCAAAUAAAUAAAUAAAAGAAAGCCAACCUUCAAAGAAACUUGAAGCUUUGUAGGUGAGAGGCAACAAGCUUGGGCCUUUGCGAUGCAAUCAGAAAUGUGUGUUUUUAAGAUUAGUUGAAUAUGAGAAAAUGCUUGACAAAGAUUUUCAUGUACUUUACACAAAUGUGAUUUUUGUAAUAUGUCUCAACCAGAUUUAUUUGAAGCGCUUCUUAUGUAGAGUUUUAUUCUUUUCUCUCCUAGUGCGUGUGCUGACUUUUUAACAUGGUAUUAUCAACUGGGCCAGGAGGUAGUUUCUCAUGAGGGCAUGUGUCAGUGUGGCUUUUAGUUCUGAAGCCAAAUGAAACUCAAAACCAUCUCUCUUCCAGCCGCUUCAGGGAGGUAGCUUCAAAGACCGCAUACCUCUCUUGGACUGGCAGAUGGCUCACUGUUGUGAAUCACCAGAGGAGCUGUGGAGAGAAUGGAAACUCAACAUCACUGUUAACUGUGCAUUAAAUAAGCAAAUAAACAGUGGCUCAUAAAAAUAACAGUCCCAUGUCUUUUGGUUGGGCCUUUCUGAAACCUCAUUGGCCAGCUCGUAAAACUGACACAGUUGCUCAUGUUGGCCAAACUCGGAAACCGAGCAAUUUCCAUCUCUGAUGAAGUUACUCUUUUAUUUCCUCUAUGUUGUACAAUCAAAACACACGACUACCUCUUAAGCCCCAGUAUACCUCAUUUUUCAUACUGAAAAGAAAAGAAAAAAGCUUGUGGCCAAUGGAACAGUAAGAACAUCAUAAAAUUUUUAUAUAUAUAGUUUAUUUUUGUGGGAGAUAAAUUUUAUAGGACUGUUCUUCGCUGUUGUUGGUCUCAGCUAAGUAAGACUGGACAUUUAACUUUUCUACCAUUUCUGCAUGUUUGCAGGAGAAAAGUAUCAAGACGUUGAACUGCAGUUGACUUUCUCCCUGUUCCUUUGAGUGUCUUCUAACUUUAUUCUCUGUUCUUCAUGUAGAGUUGCUGUCUAUGAUUGUACUUUGAAUCGCUUGCUUGUUGGAAAUAUUUCUCUAGUGGAUUAUCACUGUCUGUUCUGCACAAUAAACAUAACAGCCUCUGUGA